GGAGUUGACUAGACAGUCGCCGCUUUAUCUCUCUUUCGGGAGAGCUUUCUUUCGGGAGAAGAUAGAGGGGAGGAAAGUCCGGGCUCCACAGGGCAGGGUGCCAGAUAACGUCUGGGAGGUGAAAGCCUACGACCAGUGCAACAGAGAGCAAACCGCCGAUGGCCCGGCUUUUUUUGCAAAAAGAAAGUUGGGAUCAGGUAAGGGUGAAAGGGUGCGGUAAGAGCGCACCGCGCGACUGGUAACAGUUCGUGGCACGGUAAACUCCACCCGGAGCAAGACCAAAUAGGGGUUCAUGUGGUACGGCCCGUACCGAACCCGGGUAGGUUGCUUGAGCCAGUGCGCAAGUGCUGGCCUAGAUGAAUGGCUGUCCAAGACAGAACCCGGCUUAUCGGUCAACUUCACAA
rfam:Xenorhabdus khoisanae strain MCB contig113, whole genome shotgun sequence.